AUUUUGCAGUGCAUGCAAUGUGGUAACUCUUCUCUCCUGUGUUCUUUGAACUAAAGAAAAACAACAGUGGAAAAUCAAAGGUAACUUAAUGCAAACAAACAAAAAAAAGCCCAAACCCAGCAAUGAAAGAAAAUAGAUGUCCAGAUGGAAGCAUAAGGAGACAGCCCAGGACACAAAAACAACUCUUACCUUCUGCGUGUACCUAUGAAAGAAGCAGCUCUAUCCAGCAACUAACCCGACAACAGCCUGUGCACCAUCUUUUAUUGAAGGAGUUCACAAACUUUAUUCACCUGGUUAUCACAAUCAGAGGCUACCACAGUUGCCAUCAUCAUCAUCAAAAGCUGGACCAUGUAUCACUUGAAAGUGGUUUGUGUUCUGAUAAUGACAUAAAGGCUCGAGAUUAUAAUCUUUGGUUCCACUCCUCUUGAAGUCACUUCAACUGUGACUUACCUGUGACACUGGCUCAGAGGUAACAUAUCACAUGACCUACACCAAAAGGCUUCCCAAGAUGCUUCCAAAUCAUAGCCAGGUGCUGCCUGAACACAUAAAAAUUUCUUCCUGAACAUAAUGCUACCCUCAGAGGUCUCAAACUGUGGUUGAACACUACUGUGAACCUGUGAGACUCAGGACUGAGGCAUGAGUCUGACAACACAUGAUUACUCAGGUCACACCAGGCAGCAGGAUGAUCACAGCAGUCACAAAGGAUUGAGAGAGUCUGGCUGAUUUUCUGAAGUUUGACGCAGGCUGUUUUAUGCAUUCAGAGAUAUGAUGUGACAAUAUUUUCUUGUAGAAAUUAAUACAGUUGAAAAGGUGUUAUUGUAUGUAGCUCUCCAAGAGAAAAGCCCAUGCAAUUAAACACUGAUUGCCUGGUCAGAGGGCAUAGACCACAGCAAAGACAAGAAAAGAGACUUGUCUUUGGAUAACUCACAAAAUAAGGCCAAACAAGGGUAGUCUCUCUCUCCUUCCUCCCCACAUCAGGAACUCCAAGCUGAGCCUACAUACCCACAGAAAUGCAGUCUUGUUUGCAUAGACAUGGAUCUGCCCUCACCUCAAAGGAGUUACAGCUCAAAUAAAUGAAGCUUUUUCUUCCGGGAAUUUUACAUCUCCUUCAGCACUGGAUGAAAGCACUGCUGGACACUGGCCAGCUCCGACAGUGUUCAAAGGCCUAGGACUUCUCACAGCUGGAGGUUAAAGAGUCACUCACAAAGCCAGCCAUCAUACUGCCUCUCACACAAGUGCACCAGUGGGCCCCUCUCCUGCUGGCAGAUGGAGCAUUUUGCACUGCACUUUGAAAUGAGUAGAAAGAGUGACAUCCUUCAGAUGAAAAGAGUGGGAGAAUCUAAACAUAAUUAGAAUAUGUCCUAACGUCCUUGAAGAAACAUUUGCACUGGCUGUCAGCCCAGAUCCCACGUGAUGCACAUGGCACUGGAAUAGGCUGGAACAUGUUGCAGCAUUACAAAACAGCAGGUCUUCAUUAGUGAGGAAUCUUCCCUGUCUAAACAACUGUGCACAAAGCACCUAAGCAUUUUAAAUCAAGCAGAAUUUCAAUGAUGCAUAAAGGGAGUGCCAGAGGUAACUCACUUGGAUAUUAGUAAUUGAUAUGCCACUUUUCACUAUAUUGCUCUCAAAAUUAUUUAAGUUGCCUUGGAUACAGACAGAAUCUUGUCAGGAGAACUGGGUAAGAGACGCUACUAAAAUAGCAAUAUAACUUGAAAACAAAGAGUAACAUGACAUAAGUUUCUGACAAAGAAAGAUGGGAAUUAUUAGGGUUACUUUGAUUCAAAAUCUUCUUCGAUGAAGUAAAAUGUAGGAACUAAAAACCUCCUUGUUUAAAUUGUAAUUGCAGAAUGAUGCAAAAAAUCAAUCUAGAGAAAAACAAUUUAUGAAAAUCUAAUGCAAGCUGUAGGGCUUCUUUUUAUUUAUUUUUUAUUAUUAUUAUUAUUAUUUUUUUUUUUUUACCUUUUGUCAAUGCUGGACUCUACUGUUGUAGAAGAACUGGAGGCAGAGGUAAUCACCAAGAGUGGACUCAUCUGGGAAGAAUGCAGAGAAGCAUACCUGGGAAAAACAAUUCAAACCACAAGAAUUCAGCGCACAAAUGACACAUAGCAAACAGCAGAGCUAGGGGCAGAGGGAAAAUAACCAGACUGGCAGAUGGGAAUUUAUGAUAUAACAUAGCAGGGGAAUAUUAAUCACUGUUAGGCUCUACUACAUAGAAAAAUUGCACCAUAGAGGGAUGAGGUAUCUUCAGCAUCUCCCUCUCUCCACCCAGCAGGAGAAGGAAAAUAAUUUUUCAAUCUGGACAUCUUAGUAUUAGGGUUUAAAAACAAGUUUGAAACUGAGACAAGUGACCAGAGAAGAUUUUGAUUUCAAAAAAUUAGUAGAAUCUAGGAAGCAGGUUUAGCAAAAAGGAUCUAAAACCUAAUGGCAAGAUAUUUCAAGGACAGUUAUGCCCUGGUCCCUUCAUAUUCUAAGGAAGACAUCUCAGCUGGAAGGAUGCUUCUAUAACUAUUAAGGGCCUGACUCUGUAUUCAGCACUCUCAAAACAUUAAUGAUUUCUAUGCACUCAGGCAAACUGUAUCGGUCUAGUUAUUUCAGAGUUAUGUGAAAUCAGGAAAACUUGCUGUUCAAAUUCUCACUGUAGCAUAGUCUAUUAAACUUAGAAACAACAUUCCUAAAAACUACUUGUCUUCCCUUGCAUGUUUUUCCCUAUUCCCAUCAUUCCCACAUGCACAUGGAUUUGAGGUAUAAAAAAGCUAGAAAGGCAGAGAUAAUCAAGAACAAAACAAGGGACCAACUAUUGGGAACACAGUAGGAGUGUUCCUACUACUGUGAAUGGCAGGAAAAUUGUAGAAAGCACUGGUGGAAGUGAAACUUCUGGUGCUUUCCCACAAGGACUGGGAGCUCUCACAUCUGACUGCAAUACCAUACCCAACUAUGCUGAUUUUAGCACUAGAAGCAUGAGAGAGAGUAGAAGGUCGCCAAACUGAACAUGGUUCAUGUGAGACACGAGCCUUCCUCACAAGUCUCUGGGCCAAUGAGAAUCAAUCAUUCCUAUCACCCAGCGGCACACAUAAGCCAGAAAUGCAGCUUUCUAUCAUGAGCCUACCUCUGAGAGACUCUCAGGAGGAGACACAAAAAACAUAUCCUUUAAAUAUCAGUUUGAAAGCAGACUGCAGACAUUCCAGUUUCCAGAUUAUUUCAGAGAGGUUCUGGGAACAUUUGUGGAAUAAACCAGUUACCUAUCUCGCUCUCUCUCUAGGGUUUUCUCGGCAACACAAGGAGGACAAUUCACUAACCUAGAUUUUUACAUGGGAAUUAAAAAACUGCUAACUCCAACAAUAAAGGCUUCUAAAUUACUGCUUGGGCUGACACAGACAACUACCCAAUAUAAACCCCAAGGAAUAAGAAGUACAGCUACAAACCAAUGCUUCAUCUUCUCAGGCAUAUGCUAUCUGCUUCUAGUUUCAUCAGAGAACUGCAGCAGGAGACAACAAUGUUCUGUCUCAUAGCAGCUGUUUUAAGCUUAUCAUCCCCAGCUAGUAAUGAUCAGUAUUUUAACCAUUUGUAUUAAUACGUUCAGCAUAUCUAGCUCUAGUGAUAGUGUUAGAGCUCUCAGUACUGUUUUCUCAUGCAGCUUUUCAUUUAUCCCUGGCUUAUCCCCAGCAAUGUCUCUCACAGCCAGUGCAGUAUGCAUAAGCUCUGUGCUUGUCCAGCUAGGAAGUCCAUUUGGGUAAAUGCAUUACGCAAACAAACUCAUUACAAGAUUAAGCAUAAAGAGCUCUCAUCUCUAUAAUUAUAGUAAAACCAUUUGAAGAAAAAAAACCCAACACUAAUAAAGACCAAGUAGCACCCGGAGGCACUGACCAUUCCUCCGAGAGAAUGAGAGACAUUCGUAUCAAGCUGUUCUAUUUGUUUCCAAGAAAAGAAAAACAGUAUGCAUGUCAAAAUACUCCACUGCAUGAGACUGAUAUAACGAUGAUCUUACACAAUGGAGCUUACAGGCUAUUGAUAAAAUCUGCUCAUAUUAAUGCACAAAAUUAACUUUAGCAACUAUCAUAUCUCACACUGCUUGGCAGAGGUUGAGUCUAGCUUGGUGUAAAAUUACAUGAUUUAUAAGUUUAAAUUUAAAAUACUGCACUAAAAUGAUACUCAUACAAAAUUCUGACCAACAUGCUUGACAAAAAUUAAAAUAGGAUGUCUCAAUAUUACCUGUGUAUAUGGAAAAGAUUUUCUGAAUAUAGAGGUACUUCUUCAAUUCAAUCACCACUCAGAUCAAAGUAUUUGAGGUUUAAUUUAGCUUCAUAUAGCUUAGUAAAGAAAAACUGAUACUGUUAACAGAGUUAUCCCCAAAUUGUCACAUCUGAGAAAUCAGCUGGGUAGUGUAACAUUGACAGAUUGUUUUUAUAAACUGAAGGGAACCUUACUCUACUAGCCUUUUUAUCACCCUAAGAGGAGGAAGAAAAUGUUGUCUCACGCCUAAAAACUACUUAAGUUUUCAGGGGCAAAAAAGUUCCAAAUUGGGUGAGAAGGUUGAAAUCUUCAGGUAAAAAAAAAAACAACAAAAUGGAAUUAUUAGUUUUAAAAAUGUUAAGAAUGAUUUAAAAUAAAAGCUGAUGUAAAUAAAUACCUUAUUCAGAGCAUCAAAUUGGAAAGGUUCCAAAGCCACUCUACAGAGUUCUGCUGUGAAGACAUCCUCCACUCCACCUCAUGAAUCUUCUAAUGAGAUCACUAGCCAGCCUCCUUGCUCAGACUCUGCAAAGUCCCUGGAGAGGGGUAUAUGGAUAUGGUGCCUUACAAGCAGCUUGGAGAAGCCCUAUUCACGAAGAAGAAAAUGAAACCCAGUUGUAAUCUUCAGCACGCAUCAUCUCUGUGGAGGCCAGUGCUGAUCUCUGUAUGCCUCACACCUUCAUGAUAAAAGCAUACCACAGCACCUCUCAAAAACUGAUCUCCAGUUACUCUUUUGGCUAUCCUAGUCCACAGACCAAAUCAAAGAAUACACUGCCAGUGACUGUGCUCAGCCAGAUCUGAGGAGGCCAGGGAAGCAGGCACAGAAGAAGAGAUUGAGGGACCUGGCAGAGUCUGCAAGUGGUGAUUUGGGCAAGAGACAACUCAGCACCAGCUGAGAGGAUUUUACUCCCUGCCUUGCUCCUUAGCUUGUGCCAUAGUUGGGAAGUGGUCACUGCUCCCUCCCCAUAGUGUCUGCUGCCAGUGCUGUGAAAAGAAGAGUAAAGAGGAAGGAACCGUCUUCCCUCAUCCCUCAUUGUGGGUGCUGGCCAGGCAAAACCUGCAAGGGGAGAUCAGAUUGCAAAGGAAUCAAAUUAUGGUUCAGGUAUCUCACUGAGUGAGGCACCCUGAACAAAUGGUUCAGUGGCAGCACCAGACAUAAAAAAAAAACUCACAAAAUGGGUAUGUGCUUAUGCCAAAGUGAUGAAACUACAGUGACAUUUCAGUCUAGAGCGUAUUGCAAAGUGUCUGUAGUAACUGGUUGGCCUCUUUCUAAUGCCAGCAAUUCAUUCACAGACAGAAAGACAUGAUUAGCACUCAAUGGUUUGUCUAUUACAUCUCUUCAUGUUAUGCUGAACUAAGGGCUGCUGAAAAGGAGGGGAAGGAGCAAAAAUCUAUGACCCACAACCAAAACUUUGUAGAGGGGAAAAUAUCUAUUAUCUUACAUUGACAAAUAAAUAACUAAACUUGCAAA